rnacentral:sRNA from 1 species
UACUCGUUUAUCUAUCAUAUUCAUAUGUUUAUUAGUUCUCACGACGAUAGAAUCUAAAUCAUCAUUAGUAUAGAAAAUCAUAUCUUGAAGACCAAAGUAUAUCUACAUAUACAUUUUUGCAGCCAUUUUGUGAAAUAAAUCAUGGAGUUGUAACUUAUUUACAAUGGCUGCCACUAGCUUAUUCAAUGCAAAAAUUAACUACAAAAUCAAAGCAAAUCUUAUUCAAAGGAAUAUGCUCUUAUUCUAUGGCCUAAUUAU